GGAUGUGAGGGCGAUCUGGCUGCGACAUCUGUCACCCCAUUGAUCGCCAGGGUUGAUUCGGCUGAUCUGGCUGGCUAGGCGGGUGUCCCCUUCCUCCCUCACCGCUCCGUGUGCGUCCCUCCCGAAGCUGCGCGCUCGGUCGAAGAGGACGACCUUCCCCGAAUAGAGGAGGACCGGUCGGUCUUCGGUCAAGGGUAUACGAGUAGCUGCGCUCCCCUGCUAGAACCUCCAAACAAGCUCUCAUUUCCAUUGUUGCUUUAUCAACUGUAAAUGUGAGGAUUCUCAUUUCAUUACUCUAGUACUCUAUUUGUCAUU
rnacentral:snRNA from 1 species